AAGCGGCAACAGCUCAAAUUUGAAAUCUGGCCUCUGGUCCGAAUUGUAAUUUGUAGAGGAUGCUUCGGCUUACGCCCCGGUCUAAGUUCCUUGGAACAGGACGUCACAGAGGGUGAGAAUCCCGUUUGUGGCCGGCGGCUGCUGCCAUGUGAAGCUCCUUCGACGAGUCGAGUUGUUUGGGAAUGCAGCUCUAAAUGGGAGGUAAAUUUCUUCUAAAGCUAAAUACCGGCCAGAGACCGAUAGCGCACAAGUAGAGUGAUCGAAAGAUGAAAAGCACUUUGGAAAGAGAGUUAAAAAGUACGUGAAAUUGUUGAAAGGGAAGCGCUUGCGACCAGACUUGCCCGCGGAUGCUCAACCGGUCCUUCGGCCGGUGCACUCUUCCGCGGUCAGGCCAGCAUCAGUUUGGGUGGUCGGAUAAAGGCCUUGGGAAUGUAGCUCUCUUCGGGGAGUGUUAUAGCCCUUGGUGCAAUACGUCCUACCUGGACUGAGGCCCGCGCUUCGGCUAGGAUGCUGGCGUAAUGGUCGUAAGCGGCCCGUCUUUGAAACACGGACCAAGGAGUCUAACAUCUAUGCGAGUGUUUGGGUGUCAAACCCGUGCGCGAAAUGAAAGUGAACGGAGGUGGGAACCCUUUGGGUGCACCAUCGACCGAUCCUGAUGUCUUCGGAUGGAUUUGAGUAGAGCAUAGCUGUUGGGACCCGA
rnacentral:rRNA from 1 species